rnacentral:rRNA from 1 species
GACGAACGCUGGCGGCGUGCUUAACACAUGCCAGUCGAACGGAAAGGCCCUGCUUUUGUGGGGUGCUCGAGUGGCGAACGGGUGAGUAACACGCGAGUAACCUGCCCUUGACUUUGGGAUAACUUCAGGAAACUGGGGCUAAUACCGGAUAGGAGCUCCUGCUGCAUGGUGGGGGUUGGAAAGUUUUGGCGGUUGGGGAUGGACUCGCGGCUUAUCAGCUUGUUGGUGGGGUAGUGGCUUACCAAGGCUUUGACGGGUAGCCGGCCUGAGAGGGUGACCGGCCACAUUGGGACUGAGAUACGGCCCAGACUCCUACGGGAGGCAGCAGUGGGGAAUAUUGCACAAUGGGCGGAAGCCUGAUGCAGCAACGCCGCGUGCGGGAUGACGGCCUUCGGGUUGUAAACCGCUUUCGCCUGUGACGAAGCGUGAGUGACGGUAAUGGGUAAAGAAGCACCGGCUAACUACGUG